rnacentral:lncRNA from 1 species
CACUUCCCAAUUGAAGGGACUUUCUGAAGAAAAACCUGAGCAGACUUUACCUCAGCUCCUGUUGCCCAUGGGUUGCUUCCACGGCAUCAUGGAGAGACUGUGCAGAUGCAUGAGACCUUUCCCUCUAGUCCCAUUCCUUUCAGCUCAAGCAUGUAAUAAUUCUUGGUAGAUCAGGAAGAAAGGAAGGAAGAAAGACAAGAAGGGAGGAAGAGAGGGUUGGAGGAAGGAAAGGAAGAAGGAAGGAAAAGAAGGAAGAAGUGAGUGAAGGAAGGGGAAAAGAGGAAGGAAAGAAAGUGAUGGAGGGAGUGAAAGAAACAUGGAAGGAUGGAUAGAUUGAAGAAUCCUG